rnacentral:lncRNA from 1 species
UUUGCUAGUACUUCCACUUGGUAUGUUACUUUGUGUAGGUUCUUUUAUUUUAAUGCCUCCUGUCAUACUGGGUUUUUGGGAAGUACUUUGUUCACUUAUAAUUUUCUGCAAUAAUUUUGACAUGUCAUGUAAUUCUGUCUUUGGACUUAGUGUGACUAUCUCAAUGGGGUUUUGUGAUGGAGGUAUCAUUUUUGUGAAAG